rnacentral:other from 1 species
UCAAUCCUGAUGUGUACGUCUAGUACAUUCGUUUUGACCGAACACUUAUAUAAUUGGGAGUCUGCAUAGGUUUUCAUAUUGCGUGCAAGCCUUGGAAAAGGGGAAGCACAAUUAUAUAUGGAACAGGGCACCCACCUGCCUGGAGCGGGAUCAAAACCAUAAAACAGACGGCACAAUUGGGAUUGAU